GUCAAAGUGAAGAAAUUCAA
rnacentral:snRNA from 1 species